UCUUUCAUGUAAGUGGUGGACGAUGCGUGUGGUGGUAGUGGUGCUGGUGUUGUCACUGGCGGCUGUGACUUUCUCCAAGGUCAAGGAUGAAACAUCAAGUAGGAGGGUGACCAAGACGGAGGCUGAGGAGGUCGUGGUGAAGGAAGGAAGUGGUGGCGGAGACGAUAAUAAAGGUAGGAGAGACACACGAGGCAAGGAAGAAGAUGACACACACACCAAGAGCGAGAA